rnacentral:snoRNA from 1 species
CAGUGCCUGGCCUCUGAAACAGCGCGUGGGUGGCGUCCCCGCGCUGUCUUAAGCAGGCAGAGA